rnacentral:snRNA from 1 species
UUCUAGAUCUACUAUCAUCUAUU